GGUUGGUUAGCUCAGUUGGUUAGAGCGUCGUAUGUCUCCUCCCAGCACUCAAUUAUUCGGCACCCGCUAACCCGCCCCAGGUACUAAUACAGGAUCACACUUGUAUCAGGUAAUGCGAAGGUCAUGAGUUCGACCCUCAUACUGACCA